UACGGAGGGUCCAAGCGUUAUCCGGAUUUAUUGGGUUUAAAGGGUUCGUAGGCGGAUUAUUAAGUCAGUGGUGAAAGCCCACAGCUCAACUGUGGAACUGCCAUUGAUACUGAUAGUCUUGAAUAUAGUUGAAGUUAGCGGAAUGUGUCAUGUAGCGGUGAAAUGCUUAGAUAUGACACAGAACACCGAUUGCGAAGGCA
rnacentral:rRNA from 1 species